rnacentral:rRNA from 1 species
UACGUAGGGUGCGAGCGUUGUCCGGAAUUAUUGGGCGUAAAGGGCUCGUAGGCGGUUUGUCACGUCGAAAGUGAAAACUCAGGGCUUAACCCUGAGCCUGCUUCCGAUACGGGCAGACUAGAGGUAUGCAGGGGAGAAUGGAAUUCCUGGUGUAGCGGUGAAAUGCGCAGAUAUCAGGAGGAACACCAGUGGCGAAGGCGGUUCUCUGGGCAUUACCUGACGCUGAGGAGCGAAAGUGUGGGGAGCGAACAGG